rfam:Pteropus alecto contig30095, whole genome shotgun sequence.
GUCUAUGGCCAAGCCACCCUGAAUACGCCUGAUCCCGUCUGAUCUCAGAAGCUAAGCGGGGUUGGGCCUGGUUAAUACUUGGAUUGGAGACCACCUAGGAAGACCAGGUGCUGUAGGCA